rnacentral:piRNA from 1 species
UNGCAGUUGUGCUGUUGCUGGAUCUUGUU